rnacentral:rRNA from 1 species
GACGAACGCUGGCGGCGUGCCUAAUACAUGCAAGUAGAACGCUGAAGAGAGGAGCUUGCUCUUCUUGGAUGAGUUGCGAACGGGUGAGUAACGCGUAGGUAACCUGCCCUGUAGCGGGGGAUAACUAUUGGAAACGAUAGCUAAUACCGCAUAACAAUGGAUGACACAUGUCAUUUAUUUGAAAGGGGCAAUUGCUCCACUACAAGAUGGACCUGCGUUGUAUUAGCUAGUAGGUGAGGUAACGGCUCACCUAGGCGACGAUACAUAGCCGACCUGAGAGGGUGAUCGGCCACACUGGGACUGAGACACGGCCCAGACUCCUACGGGAGGCAGCAGUAGGGAAUCUUCGGCAAUGGGGGCAACCCUGACCGAGCAACGCCGCGUGAGUGAAGAAGGUUGUCGGAUCGUAAAGCUCUGUUGUAAGUCAAGAACGAGUGUGAGAGUGGAAAGUUCACACUGUGACGGUAGCUUACCAGAAAGGGACGGCUAACUACGUG